rnacentral:piRNA from 2 species
UGUGAAUGAAUCGCCUUUGUCUUGUUGGA